UCUGACAGGACUUGUAAGUUCUCCCAUUAUUCUUUGUUUCAGCUUGGAAAACAAGUAGAGCAAAUGGAAGAUACUCUGUUUGAAUUGCAGGAUUAUUCCUGAAAGGAUUCCUGAUGACUCCAGGCCUACUGCAGCUCCCUUAGUUGCCUGCCAGUAUGAACUAAAAGCUCCUCAGGAAGAAAAGGUCUCUUGGAUGUAUUACUCUGUCCACUGCUGGCUCCCUGAGCCAUCUCCUAUGAGAUGUGAACACCUUGUUGUCGCUAUGGACUUCACUGCCACGGACAGGAUCCAAAGUAUUGGUUAGCAAUAGGCAGGCAACUGAAACUGAAGGUAAGCAAAGAAUCAGGGCUCUUGCUUGAGUACAGCUUUGACAGAGUUCACAGAUGUAGAAGUUGCUUAAACUGUUUGAAGUAGGUCAUUCAAAAGUGCCUCAGAAAGAGGCAAGUCACCAGUUUCUCCCCCUGUUACAGAGUGAUACAGAGAAUGAGAACUACAUUUGGUCCACCAGCAAUUUGUAACUCCUAUACAGAACAGGGUAUGCUAAUAACAUGUCAACUUUCAUUACAGCAAAAUAAGCCUAA
rnacentral:lncRNA from 1 species